rnacentral:rRNA from 1 species
CGCAAGCCUGACGGAGCAAGACCGCGUGGGGGAGGAAAGCCUUUGGGUUGUAAACCCCUUUUCUCAGGGAAGAAGAAAGUGACGGUACCUGAGGAAUCAGCCUCGGCUAACUCCGUGCCAGCAGCCGCGGUAAUACGGAGGAGGCAAGCGUUAUCCGGAAUUAUUGGGCGUAAAGCGUCCGUAGGCGGUUCAGAAAGUCUGCUGUUAAAGCUCACAGCUCAACUGUGAAUCGGCAGUGGAAACUUCUGGACUAGAGAGUGGUAGGGGUAGAGGGAAUUCCUAGUGUAGCGGUGAAAUGCGUAGAUAUUAGGAAGAACACCAGUGGCGAAGGCGCUCUACUGGGCCAUUACUGACGCUGAUGGACGAAAGCUAGGGGAGCG